rnacentral:rRNA from 1 species
AUGCAACAGCAGCAGCAGCAGCAGCAGCUCACGCCGCAGGGCUUCGGCGUCGGCGCGGCAUUGUCGCCGAUGCAGGGGAUCGGCGCGUCCUCGUCUUCGUCGUCGUCGCAGGCGGCGGUCGCGACGGCGGCGGCGGCGGAUGCGGCGAGGGCGCGCGCGGCGGAGCAGAUGGCGUACGAGGACGCGUGGAAGGCCUGCAACCCGGACUUCACCACGCCCUUCGCCUCCGUCGAGGACGCCGUCACCAGGCUGCUCCCGUACCAUGUCUUCACGGAUUACGAUGAUGAGGACACCUACAUCGACGCCGCCGGGACGGAGAAGUCGAGUGCGGAGAGGUGGGACAACGACGUGACAGCCACCAUGAUGAAGCAGAUCGCGGAGUUCGAGAAGCACGUGCUGACCUUCAACGUCAUUGCCCGGCAGCGCGCCGAAGGCACCAUGCGCGGCGAGGAGCAGCUCCUGCUGGAGCGCGCGCUCAUCCAGGACGAGUUCCGCGCGUCGGACCAAGUGCGCGUCGCGCACAUCCAGCAGCAGCAGCAGGAGGAGGAGGAGGCCGCGCGCGCGUCGCGCCUGGCCCUCGCGCAGGCGCAGGCGCAGGUCGCGAACGCGUGGCCGCUGGUGCAGCCCAGCAACCCGUCCGGUUGGCAGCAGGCGCUCGCCGCCGCCGCGGCGGCGGCGGCAGCGCGCGCCGACGGGGUGCCCGCGCAGAUGGCGACGGCUCAGGGCGUGGCAAUGCAUCCGCAGCUUGAUCCUUCCGCGGCCGGCGCGUGGCUGAUGAUGAAGCAGCAGCAGCACCACCACCACCAGCAGCAGCAGCAGCAGCAGCUGGGCCUGGGCGUGUGGCCAACGUUCGCGGCGCCGCACGGCGUGGGCAGCUCAAAUGGGCAGGCGGGGCCUUCGGCCUUGUGGCAGGAGCAGGCUGCUGGGGAACAGACGACGAGCGGCACGGCGGUUGGCGGGAUGGCGCAGCCGUGGUGGGCGGGUGCUGCACAAAGGAGGGAGCAGUAG